rnacentral:rRNA from 1 species
GGGGAAUAUUGGACAAUGGGCGCAAGCCUGAUCCAGCCACGCCGCGUGAGUGAUGAAGGCCUUCGGGUCGUAAAGCUCUGUGGGGAGGGACGAACCGCUGUCGGUUAAUACCCGGCAGCAUGACGGUACCUCCUUAGCAAGCACCGGCUAACUUCGUGCCAGCAGCCGCGGUAAUACGAAGGGUGCAAACGUUGCUCGGAAUUAUUGGGCGUAAAGCGCACGUAGGCGGCUUAGCAAGUUGGAUGUGAAAGCCCUCGGCUUAACCAAGGAAGUGCAUCCAAAACUGCUGAGCUUGAGUAGUUAAGAGGAUCGCGGAAUUCCCGGUGUAGAGGUGAAAUUCGUAGAUAUCGGGAGGAACACCAGUGGCGAAGGCGGCGAUCUGGGAACAUACUGACGCUGAGGUGCGAAAGCGUGGGGAGCAAAC